rnacentral:rRNA from 1 species
AGGACGAACGCUGGCGGCGUGCUUAACACAUGCAAGUCGAGCGGAAAGGCCCUUCGGGGUACUCGAGCGGCGAACGGGUGAGUAACACGUGAGCAACCUGCCCUUAGCUUCGGGAUAGCUCCGGGAAACCGGAAUUAAUACCGGAUAUGACUAUGGCCGACAUCAGCCAUGGUGGAAAGUUUUUCGGCUAGGGAUGGACUCGCGGCCUAUCAGCUAGUUGGUGAGGUAACGGCUCACCAAGGCGACGACGGGUAGCCGGCCUGAGAGGGCGACCGGCCACACUGGGACUGAGACACGGCCCAGACUCCUACGGGAGGCAGCAGUGGGGAAUAUUGCGCAAUGGGCGAAAGCCUGACGCAGCGACGCCGCGUGGGGAUGAAUGCCUUCGGGUUGUAAACCCCUUUCAGCAGGACGAAGCGAAAGUGACGGUACCUGCAGAAGAAGCGCCGGCUAACUACGUGCCAGCAGCCGC